AAACUACGCCUGCAUGAAGCUGGAAUUGCUAGUAAUCAUAGGUCAGCAUACUAUGGUGAAUACGUUCCCGGGCCUUGUACACACCGCCCGUCACACCAUGAGAGUUGAGAAUACCCGAAGUCCAUGUCAAAGUGGCCGAAGGUAGGCUUGAUGAUUGGGGUGAAGUCGUAACAAGGUAAC
rnacentral:rRNA from 1 species